rnacentral:rRNA from 1 species
GACGAACGCUGGCGGCGUGCUUAACACAUGCAAGUCGAGCGGUAAGGCCCUUUCGGGGGUACACGAGCGGCGAACGGGUGAGUAACACGUGGGUGACCUGCCCUCAGCUCUGGGAUAAGCCCGGGAAACUGGGUCUAAUACCGGAUAUGACUUCAUGACGCAUGUUGUGGAGUGGAAAGCCUUGUGCGGCUGAGGAUGGGCCCGCGGCCUAUCAGCUUGUUGGUGGGGUGAGGCCUACC